UUUCACUGUGAUUUUCAUAAUAUAAAUUUGGGCUUCCACUUUGGGUGAAGGGCUGUGACGGCUGUUGGAGUGGUGGCUCUGGGCCUGGACGUGGUUCUUAGCGUUUCCGUUUGGCUUGAUGAUUGCUGCUGAACUUUCCUCUUUGAAUCAACUAGAAGAGCGAAAUGCUGCUCUAGAAGGUCUCUUUCUAGAUCCUCUGAUGACUUCAGAUGUUCCUGUGCCCCCUUCUCUCCUCUUCCUCCCUGCCGGGGUCCGUGAGCACGGCCCUAAGAUCCAUGAAACAAAAUUUAAAAGAUGUGUACGGAGAACACAAGACGUCAAUUCUUUGAGUUUACAUUUAACAAUUAAGAUGCAAAUACAAGUGGGGAGAUCUGGACUAUCCAGAAGAAGGAAUGUCUCAACUUUCUGAAUGAGGCGUGAGGAACACAAGAAUAACCAAAAUUGAGAGUAAACCCACAUGAAAAGAGAUGUCACCAAUUACUCUCAAGAAGCACUCAAUAAUAAGGUAGUCAAAUCAGCAGGCACAAUGAGGAAGUAAUGUGUUUAAA